rnacentral:lncRNA from 1 species
AUGAUCUGUAAGAUUCCUUCAAGUUCUAACAUUCUUUCAAUCAUAUGUCAUAAUUCACAGUCCCAGCUGCAUGGCAUGCUGGGACAUUCAGACAAGCCGGAUCAGGGACCUAGGAGCAGAAAGGGGCAGUGCUGUGGAGAAACCCCAGGGGCAUUAGCUCAGCCUGAGGAAAAGACGUGCAAUCAAACCAGCAAAUUCAUGGGGAUGUGGCUAACUCCAGGAGCUGAGACCAAAUGGCAGAGUCAGACGAGGCUGACUUAAUGCACCAAAGAAAAGAAGGUUCUGUCAACGACAGCUGUCCAAAAAAAUGAAUUCUUUAUCUGUUGUUAGUUGAAUUAGAGUUGUCUGAAGAUCCAUGAGGAUGCUUUUGAGAGAAUUUCUAUCAAGCCCAUCAGCAAGCCCAUCAUUCUGCCUCUAGGUUUAUCUGUAAUCUGACCACUUUCCUCUCACCCCAUCCCUAGCUCCGCUGCCAUCAACUCCUGCCUGGACUGUGGUCACCUCCUCACGAGCUUCCCUUCUUCAGGAAAGGUCUGAGCUUUCUUUGAAAGACUCACCUGAUUAGAUCCAGGCCCACUUCAGAUAGUCACCUUAUUUAUUUAUUUACUUAUUUAUUAAUAUUUUAUUUUUUAUAAGUUAUUCAUGAGACACAGAGAGAGAACAGAGACAUAGGCAGAGGGAGAAGCAGGCUCCCUAUGGGGAACCCGAUGCGGGGCUCCAUCCCAGGACCCCAGGAUCAUGACCUGAGCCCAAAGGCUGAUGCCCAACCACUGACCCACCCAGGUACCCCUAAAAAUAUUUUAUUUUUAAUCUCUACACCCAACAUGGUGCUUGAACUCACAACCCCGAGAUCAAGAGUCACCCACUCUUCUGACUGAGCCAACCAGGUGCCCCAAUCUCCUUUUAAUCAAUUCAAAGUCUACUGAUUUACAACCUUAAUUACAGUUGCAAAACCCCUUCACCUUUGCCACGUAAUACACAGGAGUGGCAGUCCACUAUAUUCACAGGUUCUACAUACACUCAGGGGGAGGGGAUUAUACAAGGGUAUGGGUCCUUGGCCACCAUCUGAGAAUUCUGCUUACCACAGUUAAUAUUACUAGCCUUAAAACGAUCCUGUGGGGAGCUCUGGGGUAUAAAUUACAUCUCGGAGUUUGUGGAAACUUGAGGCAAGGAAGUUUGAUUUUCAUACUCUCCCACCAGCCAGUCACUGGUAUUUUGGUAUUUCUCCCAGGUAUUUUGGGCUCUCAGCAAGUAUGGGCAGAGGCUCCAGUACCUUUCAGUCAGUUGUAUGAAGAAAGUUGCAUAUGUAAGCCAGUAAAAACAACAACAACAACAACAAAAACAACAACAACAACAACAAACCCCACAGGAAAUGAGAGGGGCACACAGAAAAAAUUAAGGAAAAUAUAGGGGAUCCAGUAAAGUACCAACAGUGGGCACUACAAUCUCCUCAUUCUGACACUUGGAUCUGCUUGAAUCUCACUUUGGGUUCAUUCUGUCUUGUCUUGGUUCUUUCAAGAUGGUGGUUGGUCACAUUUCUUGUCCGGAACUUACCAAAAGAACAUUGGCAAAGUCAGCUAAGGCCCCAUUGGUACAGUCAGUAUGGAGGUCAUAAUGGAUAUCCAUCAUCUCCUGCCUCUACCUAUUCUUGUUUGUCUCAUCCUUAGCAAGGAUUUCUUCUGUCCCAGAGGGCUUUCCUACUGACAUGACCCAGACCCUCAUCCUUGUUAGGUCAGCCACUGGUUCCCAGGCCCUUAUACCAUUUCUGUUGCAGUUGCCCAUUUCAAGUUAAAACUGGGCAUGAGGACAGCACGCUUUGCCCCAGUGCAUUCUUUGAGUUCCAGGGGCAUCCCUUCUGCAUCAUUCUGUAGCCUCAGCUCAAUCUCCUCAUGAUGAAUAGGGUCACCUGCCCCUAUCAGUGUAGUAACUCUUUUCUCUGCCUUCUGUUCUCAUGGCAAGAAAACUGAGAGACCAUGUGACAGCUGUAGCUGUAGUUUAUCAGAACUCUUAUGGUGUCCCAUGGCAGAAGCAUUUCCUCUCUGGCAACCAGGAUAUGUAGACUCACAGAACAUAUACUUAUAAAGAUAAAAAGGACAAAUUCCAGGCAGCCCCAGUGGCGCAGCGGUUUAGCGCCGCCAGCAGCCCAGGACAUGAUCCUGGAGACCCUGGAUCAAGUCCCACGUCGGGCUCUCUGUGUGGAACCUGCUUCUUCCUCUGCCUGUGUCUCUGCCUCUCUCACUGUGUCUCUCUCAUGAAUGAAUAAAUAAAAUCUUAAAAAAAAAAAAAGGACA